AUUUAUAUAGUUUAAUAAUUUAAAACAUUAUAUUUUCACUAUAAAAAUAAAAAAUCUUUUUUUAUAAAUA
rnacentral:tRNA from 1 species